rnacentral:tRNA from 1 species
UGAUGUGGUGGAAUUGGUAGACACGCCGGACUUAAAAUCCUGUGCUCUUUUGGGCGUGCGGGUUCAAGUCCCGCCAUCA